AGUACUUUGUAAGAAUUUCUAUAAAAUUUCUACUAAUUUAUACAUAUUUAUUGGAAUUUCUAGCAAAUUACUACUAAUUCCUACUAAUUUGAAUGAAUUUCUACAAAAUUUCGAACUAAUUACUACUAAUUACUACUAAUUUCUACUAAUUUCAUUUUCUAACUAAUAUACAAAUAUUUAUUGAUUUUCUAACUAAUCUACUAAUUUCUAUUCAUUUUCUAACUAAAAAAUAAAAAAG
rnacentral:lncRNA from 1 species